UCAAAAUCCUAUGGAAUACCCCGCAAAUAGGGACAAAAUCGAAAUUACAAUAAAGUCGUAAAUGGACGCAUCAAUAUUUGCGUGGUUUUUGCUAAAAUCCUACGCUGCAAUUUCAUCCGAUUCCCGGAUUAUUAUUCUAUUUGGCCCUAUUUUUUUGUUAAACCGCCAAUAAACCCCCCCUCUCGUUCAUCCGCCUUCGAACUGGAGUCGAUAUUCCACUACUGGGAAAAGCCUACAAUGCAACAAUGAAGGAAGAAGUUUCGUAUCGUCAUCUUUAAUUUUAGGGUUCGGAAAUGGAUCAUCAAAUUCUUUCAUUCCCACUUAGGUUAGCCACAAACGUUUCAAAUCUUUGUUCAAUUUGGUAUCGUCGUCUCUAGAAGUGGAGAAAUUCGCAGUUCAAUAGCGCAGUUCGUUUCGGAGUUUUCAUAAUUCAUCACCUAUCUCUGCUCCAUAAAUUUCUGCAAGAUUCAGAUAAUAAGAUGAAUCAAAAGAUAUAUCUUCAAAGAAGCAGAUGUCAGUUGUAUUACGACAUGUGGAUGAAGGUCAUGUGAUUGAACGAUUUUAUUGGAAUCAUCCAUGUCAAUAAUACAAGUGUCCUAUCACUUAAGGAAGCUAUUGAUGGUUUUUUCUGUUAACAUGGGUUAAGUAUAGCUAAUUUGUGAGGACAAAGAUAUGAUGGAGCAAGUAAUAUGUAAGGUGAGUUCCAUGACUUGAAAGCACUUAUUUUGAAAGAAAAUGAAUGUGCUUUUUACAUUCAUUGUUUUGCUCAUCAACUUCAAUUAACUCUUGUAAAUACUGCAAAAAAUCAUGUGAAAAUUGUCAGUCUUUUUUUUAUU